UACAGAGGGUGCGAGCGUUGUCCGGAAUCAUUGGGCGUAAAGGGCGCGUAGGCGGCCUGAUAAGUCGGGGGUGAAAUCCUGUGGCUUAACCACAGGGCUGCCUCCGAGACUGUCGGGCUCGAGCACAGUAGAGGCAGGUGGAAUUCCCGGUGUAGCGGUGGAAUGCGUAGAGAUCGGGAAGAACAUCGGUGGCGAAGGCGGCCUGCUGGGCUGUUGCUGACGCUGAGGCGCGACAGCGUGGGGAGCAAACAGG
rnacentral:rRNA from 1 species